rnacentral:rRNA from 1 species
UACGAAGGGGGCUAGCGUUGCUCGGAAUCACUGGGCGUAAAGGGUGCGUAGGCGGGUCUUUAAGUCAGGGGUGAAAUCCUGGAGCUCAACUCCAGAACUGCCUUUGAUACUGAGGAUCUUUGAGUUCGGGAGAGGUGAGUGGAACUGCGAGUGUAGAAGGUGAAAUUCGUAGAUAUUCGCAAGAACACCAGUGGCGAAGGCGGCUCACUGGCCCGAUACUGAC